GAUGAACGCUAGCGGCAGGCUUAACACAUGCAAGUCGAGGGGUAUUGGUUUUCGGACCAAGAGACCGGCGCACGGGUGCGUAACGCGUAUGCAAUCUACCUUUUGCAGAGGGAUAGCCCCAGAGAAAUUUGGAUUAAUACCUCAUAGUAUAGUACUUUGGCAUCAAGGAACUAUUAAAGUCACAACGGCAAAAGAUGAGCAUGCGUCCAUUAGCUAGUUGGUAAGGUAACGGCUUACCAAGGCUACGAUGGGUAGGGGUCCUGAGAGGGAGAUCCCCCCACACUGGUACUGAGACACGGACCAGACUCCUACGGGAGGCAGCAGUGAGGAAUAUUGGACAAUGGGCNCAAGCCUGAUCCAGCCAUGCCGCGUGCAGGAUGACGGUCCUAUGGAUUGUAAACUGCUUUUANACAGGAAGAAACACUCCGACGUGUCGGAGCUUGACGGUACUGUAAGAAUAAGGA
rnacentral:rRNA from 1 species